GGAAAUAUGCAGCUCAGUGGCAAAGCAUCUGCUUUGCGUGCAGAGGGUCCCAGGUUCAAAUCCAAAUUUAUUUGCUCCU